CACCACCCUUCAUGUUCAUCUCUGGCACUGAUAAAAUGAGAAUGAUAACUCAUGGCUUCCGGGAUAAACUGUGAGUUAAAAGAUCUUGUCCCAUGACUGGCAAAGCCCUCAUCAUCAUCAAAUGCUAACCCAGUCUUUUGUAGAAGCUGAUUUUGUCAUGCCAUAAAAGUUGGAUCUCCAUCAACCUACCAUCCUACAUGUAACACAAUCACAGAUCAAUGGUCUUCAAGGUUGGCACAUGUCCUUGGAACCACUUAGUUAACCAGUAACCACUUAGUUAAUUUGUCUAACUACAUCCAGCAUCCCAAAUAUAUUACUCUUAUUCAUUCAUCCAUUUGAAUAUUUGUCAAGUAGUUUGAUGAGCUUUUAAUAUUU